rnacentral:pre_miRNA from 1 species
UGGAACUCGACAGGGUCGACAUGAGAACACAUGUGCAUUCAACGACUGUGAUGACCAUUACAUCUCUCCGGUUUCAUGUGUUCUCAGGUCACCCCUGCUGAGUUUUU